rnacentral:rRNA from 1 species
UACGGAGGAUGCAAGCGUUAUCCGGAAUGAUUGGGCGUAAAGCGUCCGCAGGUGGCUAUGUAAGUCUGCUGUUAAAGAGUGAGGCUCAACCUCAUAAGAGCAGUGGAAACUACAUAGCUAGAGUGCGUUCGGGGCAGAGGGAAUUCCUGGUGUAGCGGUGAAAUGCGUAGAUAUCUGGAGGAGCACCGGUGGCGAAGGCGGCAUCCUGGACCGACAUUGACGCUGAGGCGCGAAAGCCAGGGGAGCAAACGGG